rnacentral:rRNA from 1 species
UACGUAGGGGGCAAGCGUUGUUCGGAAUUACUGGGCGUAAAGGGCGCGCAGGCGGCUCUGAAAGUCAGAUGUGAAAGCCCCGGGCUUAACCUGGGAACUGCAUUUGAUACUCUAGAGCUUGAGUACGGGAGAGGAGAGUGGAAUUCCCAGUGUAGAGGUGAAAUUCGUAGAUAUUGGGAAGAACACCGGUGGCGAAGGCGGCUCUCUGGACCGUAACUGACGCUGAGGCGCGAAAGCGUGGGGAGCAAACAGG